rnacentral:rRNA from 1 species
UGAUAGGUAAACUCAGUAAUCUCUCUGUGAAAACUGCGGAGGGAUCAUUACUGAGUUUACGCUCUAUAACCCUUUGUGAACAUACCUAUAACUGUUGCUUCGGCGGGUAGGGUCUCCGCGACCCUCCCGGCCUCCCGCCUCCGGGCGGGUCGGCGCCCGCCGGAGGAUAACCAAACUCUGAUUUAACGACGUUUCUUCUGAGUGGUACAAGCAAAUAAUCAAAACUUUUAACAACGGAUCUCUUGGUUCUGGCAUCGAUGAAGAACGCAGCGAAAUGCGAUAAGUAAUGUGAAUUGCAGAAUUCAGUGAAUCAUCGAAUCUUUGAACGCACAUUGCGCCCGCCAGCAUUCUGGCGGGCAUGCCUGUUCGAGCGUCAUUUCAACCCUCAAGCUCUGCUUGGUGUUGGGGCCCUACAGCUGAUGCAGGCCCUCAAAGGUAGUGGCGGACCCUCCCGGAGCCUCCUUUGCGUAGUAACUUUACGUCUCGCACUGGGAUCCGGAGGGACUCUUGCCGUAAAACCCCCCAAUUUUCCAAAGGUUGACCUCGGAUCAGUCACGAAGGCCACCCUGAAGCUAAA